rnacentral:lncRNA from 1 species
AACAACUUGGAGCCAUCUCAACUUGAGCUAGAUGAAGCUUUUGAGAGGACUUGUAAUGGAAUCCACGUCUUUGGACCCAUUUGGGAACAUGUGUUGGGUUACUGGAAAGCCAGCAUAGAACAACCUGGUAAGAUUUUGUUCCUGAAAUAUGAGAAUCUCGGAAAACCUUUGUAAUUUUGAUAACAUCAAAAAUUUGCAAGUCACCAAAACUGGUAAGAGUGUACCCAAUAUUGCCUGGAAAUUCUCUCUUCUUAAGAAAAGGUGAAGUUGGAAACUGGAAAAACUAUUUAUCCCCCUCAAUGUCACAACAUUUGCAGAAAGUUGUGGAAGAAAAGUUGGAUGGCCCUAGUCUUACCUUUAAAACAUCUUUGGAGGACCUAAGAAGUAAUAUUUAGGGAAGUUGAUCAUUCUCUGAUAUGCUUCACUACCAUUGAGUUUGAUUGCCCUGUUUUGAGAUGUUCCAACCUUUGCUUCAUCAAUUAAGUUUGAUCGUGUUUUUCUGAGUGGUUACGCUUGCAAACAUGUUCCAUCCCCAAUCUCCAUGCUUCAAUCCACCUGCAUGCAAAUUCGAUCCUGAUUUAGAUUUUAUUCAGAAGCUUCCUGUGCUGCAAGUUAUUGAUAGGGUUAAUAAGCAUUGGAUCUAUGCUGAAAAGACAAUCAGCAAUCAAUAUGUGAUAUUACAAAUACAACCAAUUUAGGUGUUUAUCAAACUUGUACAUCAGAUAAUUUUUUUUUUCUUCCUAGUUAGUUUCUACAUUGAAAAUAAAACUCUAGAUAUGUGUCAUCUACAUAAAGAAGAAAAGUUGCCAAUAUAAACUGCCCUCUGGCCAGAACUAUAGGGUUGCAUUGGGUCAAUUCCUAUGGUAACAGCAGGAUUCAAUUUCAAAUGAAAGAAUAUGUCUGGCGAGGACAAUAACAGCGUUGUUCAGAAAGCUUUUGCUCAAAUGUUUCUUAAAGUGUUAGCUAUCAUGCAUGACACCUCAGAUAAAAAACAUAGGUCUAGUGAGUAGAGUCUCAUUUUACAUUUUCAAUCAAAGGCUGGCUACAAGCUUCCAACAUAGUUUUUUCAGUUUAAUGCCUGGAAAAAAUAUACAGACCUUUCUAAUAUACACCCUUCACAUGAUCAGAUGAUCAUCAUAAUCCCAAAAUUCGAACAGAGAGGUAUUAUUUAAAGAACAGAGUACAAAAUGCAAAAAACAUUGAUAAAUGACAAUUUAUUGAACAAAUCCGAUAAAAUUUCUUGCUAAAUUAAAAUCAACAGAGCCUGGAAAAUUCUAUACACCAUACCAUUGAACUCGUCCUUCGUUUGACAGGAAAAUUUCUGUCCAAAGUGAAGAGAACCUCUCUAAUUGCAAAUUUGGGGAUGAAUAAUAACUAUUUAUAUCUCGAUCUGACACGAAACAAGUGACCUUCUCAGCAAAUAACCAAAAUUUCCAGGAAAAGUUUUUAUCUCUAAGUGCCUUUUACAACAAUAAGCAUACACUCAAGUCCUCACAUGAUCAUCAGCAUAACCCCAAAACAGACAUGAAAGUAACAAUAAUAUUAUCGGAGUCUUGGGUGCUCUCGUUGCACUAGUCAUUUUUCCAUUAAUUUUUUAUCACGUACAUGCUCUGACCAAUCAUGAUAAUAUGUACAAAAACAGAGUACAGCUCCGACUUCACCGCCACCAAAUCCUCAGCGCUCCGACACCGUUUCAUCUUUUCCUCCAAACCCAUCAAGAAACCGCUCACAUCGGGUUCAUUGUCGGCACCCACUUGGCCUUGGCUACUACUGCUUGCACCGUUAAUGUCAGUAAGGGCGUCAAAUGAAGGUGACCCAUGAACAUAGGGGUUCCCACCGGUGAGAAAAAAAUCUUGGGCCUUUUCCGGAAAGACCUUGUCAUCGUUUAGAGAAAAUAACCCCCACUCUCGUUUUCAGAGGCAGAAUUUUGAGUGGAAUUUUGAUAAAAUUCUAAAUUCUUAGUCCAAAUUUAUAGGUUGGAUAAAAA